GCAUACUGCCGUGAAUACGUUCCCGGGCCUUGUACACACCGCCCGUCACACCAUGAGAGUUGGGAAUACCCGAAGCCUGUGAGCUAACUAUACGAGGCAGCAGUCGAAGGUAGAAUCAAUGAUUGGGGUGAAGUCGUAACAAGGUAGC
rnacentral:rRNA from 1 species